rnacentral:rRNA from 1 species
UACAGAGGGUGCAAGCGGUAAUCGGAAUUACUGGGCGUAAAGCGUGCGCAGACGGUUGUGCAAGACAGAUGUGAAAUCCCCGGGCUCAACCUGGGAAUUGCAUUUGUGACUGCACGGCUAGAGUGUGUCAGAGGGGGGUAGAAUUCCACGUGUAGCAGUGAAAUGCGUAGAGAUGUGGAGGAAUACCGAUGGCGAAGGCAGCCCCCUGGGAUAACACUGACGCUCAUGCACGAAAGCGUGGGGAGCAAACAGG